UCUUCGCGUGUAAUACACGCUUUUUCAACGGUUUACACGCGAGGAUUUUGUCACAUGGCGUGUACACGCGUUUCGCCACUUUACACGCAAUUACACGCUUUUUCGUUGUUUUGAUUUUUUGGUCGUUGGUGAUAUCGCGAUUCUCGGGUUUUUUCAUUAUUAGACAAAAAAUACCGAAAAUUUCGAAGUAAUUGUAUCGUCGCCAUUGUUUAUUUUCUAUAUGGACGAACAGCAAAAGCCCUUAAGUUUCAAAUCUAGCCAAACAGAUUCCCACAGGCCAAAGGGGAUGGAAAUAUCACGGAACUUUUGGAUCAGUUCUCAUAGUACCAACUGUCUUCUGAUGAACUACCCAGUUUUGACCAGACAAUAGCCUCAGAGACAAUAGCAACAUAUAUAGUUCGUUGGGAGCAAUGGCAAAGAUAAUAGAUGUACAUUUUAGAUGGCAAAAAACGUUAUAACACUCUUUCAAAGCUUAUCAAGCUAUUUAAGUUCAGCCAAAUAUCAAUUCUGACUGUGAGAGAACAUUUUCAAUUAUAAAAAAAUCUACACUGAAUUCUGAUCAGAACUCGACAAUGAUAUAUUGUGUGCCUUGUUAUCAAGUAAAUGUAAUCAAACUGGCAGUUGUUUUGAAUAUGUGCCUAAGCCUAGGGUGUUGCUUUAAAAGCAGCAAAACAGACCACUGUUGAAUACAAUAAAAGUUUACUCUAGAA